rnacentral:rRNA from 1 species
GACGAACCACACGAACGUUAUUCGGAAUUACUGGGCUUAAAGGGUGCGUAGGCGGCGCGGUAAGUAGGGUGUGAAAUCCCUCGGCUCAACCGAGGAACUGCGCUCUAAACUACCGUGCUCGAGGGAGGUAGAGGUGAGCGGAACUUAGGGUGGAGCGGUGAAAUGCGUUGAUAUCCUAAGGAACACCGGUGGCGAAAGCGGCUCACUGGAUCUCUUCUGACGCUGAGGCACGAAAGCUAGGGUAGCGAACGGGG